GUCUACAGCCAUGCCACCCUGAACAAGUCUGAUCCCUUCUGAUCUUGGAAGCUAAGCAGGGUCGGGCCUGGUUAGUACUUGGAUGGGAGACCACCUAGGAAAACCAGGUGCUGUAGGCA
rnacentral:rRNA from 1 species